rnacentral:misc_RNA from 1 species
CGCGAACCUCAUUAUUUCUUCCACUGAUAGCUGUCGACACAGUGGAUCUAGCAUUAGACUUACGGAUAUGCACUCCUCUUCCUGUCAUGCUCUUAACAUCUCCAUCACUGUCACUGUCAGAGUACUCUGCUGAAUACUCAUCCUCUUCAAAUGAUGCUUUUCCUCUCUUUUGUCGAGUUAAGGCAUGUAACGACUUGCUUUCUCUAGC